GCCAUCGGCCAUACCACGCUGAAUGCGCCGGUUCUCGUCCGAUCACCGAAGCUAAGCAACAUCGGGCUCCGUCAGUACUUGGGGGGAGAACGGGAACACGGAGUGCUGAUGGCA
rnacentral:rRNA from 1 species